AUACGGAGGAUCCGAGCGUUAUCCGGAUUUAUUGGGUUUAAAGGGUGCGCAGGCGGCCAUUUAAGUCAGCGGUUAAAUCGUGGGGCUCAACCCCAUUCUGCCGUUGAUACUGGGUGGCUUGAUUGCGGUCGAGGUUGGCGGAAUUCGUUGUGUAGCGGUGAAAUGCAUAGAUAUGACGAAGAACACCGAUUGCGUAGGCAGCUGACCAGACCGCAAAUGACGCUCAUGCACGAAAGUGCGGGGAUCGAACAGGAUUAGAUACCCUGGUAGUCCGCACAGUAAGCGAUGAAUACUUGUUUUCGGCGAUAUAAUGUCGGAGGCAAAGCGAAAGCGAUAAGUAUUCCACCUGGGGAGUACGCCGGCAACGGUGAAACUCAAAUGAAUUGGCGGGG
rnacentral:rRNA from 1 species